rnacentral:rRNA from 1 species
UUAUCGGAGAGUUUGAUCCUGGCUCAGGACGAACGCUGGCGGCGUGCCUAAUACAUGCAAGUCGAGCGGACAGAUGGGAGCUUGCUCCCUGAUGUUAGCGGCGGACGGGUGAGUAACACGUGGGUAACCUGCCUGUAAGACUGGGAUAACUCCGGGAAACCGGGGCUAAUACCGGAUGGUUGUUUGAACCGCAUGGUUCAAACAUAAAAGGUGGCUUCGGCUACCACUUACAGAUGGACCCGCGGCGCAUUAGCUAGUUGGUGAGGUAAUGGCUCACCAAGGCGACGAUGCGUAGCCGACCUGAGAGGGUGAUCGAGCACACUGGGACUGAGACACGGCCAGACUCCUACGGGAGGCAGCAGUAGGGAAUCUUCCGCAAUGGACGAAAGUCUGACGGAGCAACGCCGCGUGAGUGAUGAAGGUUUUCGGAUCGUAAAGCUCUGUUGUUAGGGAAGAACAAGUACCGUUCGAAUAGGGCGGUACCUUGACGGUACCUAACCAGAAAGCCACGGCUAACUACGUGCCAGCAGCCGCGGUAAUACGUAGGUGGCAAGCGUUGUCCGGAAUUAUUGGGCGUAAAGGGCUCGCAGGCGGUUUCUUAAGUCUGAUGUGAAAGCCCCCGGCUCAACCGGGGAGGGUCAUUGGAAACUGGGGAACUUGAGUGCAGAAGAGGAGAGUGGAAUUCCACGUGUAGCGGUGAAAUGCGUAGAGAUGUGGAGGAACACCAGUGGCGAAGGCGACUCUCUGGUCUGUAACUGACGCUGAGGAGCGAAAGCGUGGGGAGCGAACAGGAUUAGAUACCCUGGUAGUCCACGCCGUAAACGAUGAGUGCUAAGUGUUAGGGGGUUUCCGCCCCUUAGUGCUGCAGCUAACGCAUUAAGCACUCCGCCUGGGGAGUACGGUCGCAAGACUGAAACUCAAAGGAAUUGACGGGGGCCCGCACAAGCGGUGGAGCAUGUGGUUUAAUUCGAAGCAACGCGAAGAACCUUACCAGGUCUUGACAUCCUCUGACAAUCCUAGAGAUAGGACGUCCCCUUCGGGGGCAGAGUGACAGGUGGUGCAUGGUUGUCGUCAGCUCGUGUCGUGAGAUGUUGGGUUAAGUCCCGCAACGAGCGCAACCCUUGAUCUUAGUUGCCAGCAUUCAGUUGGGCACUCUAAGGUGACUGCCGGUGACAAACCGGAGGAAGGUGGGGAUGACGUCAAAUCAUCAUGCCCCUUAUGACCUGGGCUACACACGUGCUACAAUGGACAGAACAAAGGGCAGCGAAACCGCGAGGUUAAGCCAAUCCCACAAAUCUGUUCUCAGUUCGGAUCGCAGUCUGCAACUCGACUGCGUGAAGCUGGAAUCGCUAGUAAUCGCGGAUCAGCAUGCCGCGGUGAAUACGUUCCCGGCCCUUGUACACACCGCCCGUCACACCACGAGAGUUUGUAACACCCGAAGUCGGUGAGGUAACCUUUUAGGAGCCAGCCGCCGAAGGUGGGACAGAUGAUUGGGGUGAAGUCGUAACAAGGUAGCCGUAUCGGAAGGUGCGGCUGGAUCACCUCCUUU